GAAAUGCGAUAAGUAGUGUGAAUUGCAGAAUUCAGUGAAUCAUCGAAUCUUUGAACGCACAUUGCGCCCUAUGGUAUUCCGUAGGGCAUGCCUGUUCGAGCGUCAUUUACACCUUCAAGCCUUGCUUGGUGUUGGGUGACUGUGGCCCCUUUGGGGCCACUCGCCUUAAAGUCAUUGGCGGCCGGUUCGUUGGCUUUGUAGCGCAGCACAAUUGCGUCCUCGAAGCCGCUGGACCAGCUCCCAGAAGCUAAUUUUAAAUGUUUGACCUCGAAUCAGGUAGGGAUACCCGCUGACCUUAAGC
rnacentral:misc_RNA from 1 species